rnacentral:rRNA from 1 species
AAGCCAGACUCCUACGGGAGGCAGCAGUGGGGGAUAUUGCACAAUGGGGGAAACCCUGAUGCAGCGACGCCGCGUGGGUGAAGAAGCGCCUCGGCGCGUAAAGCCCUGUCAGCAGGGAAGAAAAUGACGGUACCUGAAGAAGAAGCCCCGGCUAACUACGUGCCAGCAGCCGCGGUAAUACGUAGGGGGCAAGCGUUAUCCGGAUUUACUGGGUGUAAAGGGGGCGCAGACGGCGAUGCAAGCCAGGAGUGAAAGCCCGGGGCCCAACCCCGGGACUGCUCUUGGAACUGCGUGGCUGGAGUGCAGGAGGGGCAGGCGGAAUUCCUGGUGUAGCGGUGAAAUGCGUAGAUAUCAGGAGGAACACCGGUGGCGAAGGCGGCCUGCUGGACUGCAACUGACGUUGAGGCCCGAAAGCGUGGGGAGCAAACAGGAUUAGAUACCCGUGUACC